CAACAAAUAUCUUAUUUAGUGUAACAUUUGAACUCAAUAAAGUGAGCUACACACCUAAACUGGUUUAAUCUAAAAGUGAAAAUACAUAUUAUUUAACUAUUUUCGCUUAAUCAGUGACUAAAAGAUUUAGAGACGAAGAAGCUAAGUGUUAGCAUUGAACACGUUAUUUAUUGCAAAUUUUAUAAAUUUUUACAUAUAAAUUUAUACUCCGCAUAAAAAAUAUUGUAUUCAGAUGUACCCAAUAUCAUCACUCUACAUCUGCCUUUGCACCUCCAACAUCAACCGAAAAAUCGAGGGUUCGAGUCACGUUGAAAAGUAAGUGAAUGCAUUAUUGAUCCCACCAUAAAAAUGAAGGAAAAAAAAAAAAAAAAAGAGCUCAAAAGAAUAAUUAGAGAGUGGGGAAAGAAUGCAUAAAAUGAAAGGCUAAAACUUAAGAAAAGGAAUUGAAGACAAAAGGAAAACAAAUGAAGAUAGUAGGAGGCAAAAAGCAUCAUUUGCAUGCUUGCAUUAUUUGUGUGGGGAACCUAUUCAUAAUGCUUUUUUUGAUUUGCUAAAGCCUAAAGGGAAUAUGGGCCUCACUAAAAGAUAUAGUCAAUGUAUUCAUCACAAACAAACACACGUCUUCAUGAAAUGUCAUCUAAUCAUUCUUACUUAGACCAAUCAGAUUUCUGGAUUUGGGGUCCUGCAAGCCUGCAAGGAUUCUAUUGUGUCUGAUUCUUCUUCUGAUAAGUGAAACACCAAUAAUGCUUUUCUGAGUUCAUUGGACAUGAAUUGAGUAAU
rnacentral:lncRNA from 1 species